rnacentral:rRNA from 1 species
AGUGAACGCUGGCGGUAGGCCUAACACAUGCAAGUCGAACGGCAGCACAGUAAGAGCUUGCUCUUACGGGUGGCGAGUGGCGGACGGGUGAGGAAUACAUCGGACUCUACUUUUUCGUGGGGGAUAACGUAGGGAAACUUACGCUAAUACCGCAUACGACCUACGGGUGAAAGCAGGGGAUCUUCGGACCUUGCGCGAUUGAAUGAGCCGAUGUCGGAUUAGCUAGUUGGCGGGGUUAAGGCCCACCAAGGCGACGAUCCGUAGCUGGUCUGAGAGGAUGGUCGACCACAUGGGAACGUGAACACGGACCAUGCGCCUAAGGGAAGCAACAGUGGGGAAUAUUGGACAAUGGGCGCAAGCCUGAUCCAGCCAUACCGCGUGGGUGAAGAAGGCCUUCGGGUUGUAAAGCCCUUUUGUUGGGAAAGAAAAGCAGCAGGUUAAUACCCCGCUGUUCUGACGGUACCCAAAGAAUAAGCACCGGCUAACUUCGUG